CAGUUGGUUGCUUCACCUUUAAACCUCUUUGAAAGUUCAAAAAAAUCGAACCUUAGACUUUAUCGGUGAAUAAUUACGCUAAUAAGUAUAUCUUAAGCAUUUAUCCUUUUAUUUAAAUUUUGUUAUAAUAAAGGGUUUCACAUAAAGGGUUACCAGGCCAGAAACCUUUAAUGUUAAUUUUCUCUAUACUUGAAUUAUUUCAUUUUGUUGUUUGCCAAACAAUUUAAAUAUUCUGAAAACUGUUCAAAUUUAUUCAGAAAGCAUUCUAUGGAUUGCGGCUAAAGCCUAAUCGCAAGCUAUUAGCUAUAAUUUAUGGAGUCCUACGGCAGCUCCUCAUGUCAAUAGUACGUCUACAAAAAAAAAUACAAUCACACCCAUAUCCCUUAACUUCGUUCACCCACUGCCAUCAUACUCAAAUAGAUGUCUCCUGGUUCACUUAACUAGCCUUGAGGACCAAAGAAAAAUACAUUCACUACUUUUUUUGAAUGACUUAUUUGCUGGUAGCAUAGACUGCCCAUUACUUCCAUGCCAUGUAGGCCGUUCUUUUAAACCAUUUUUUUAAGAAGCCUUCGGUGGAACUAUGCUGCCAAUAAGCUUCUCUGCCGAAGAAUGCGCUUAUAUAAAAAAUUACCUGCUAGCAUGCGGUUUAGCUUUAGCCGUAAUAAAAGGGCAAUUCGUAACCACCUAUCUGAAUAUUUUAUAAAGUGUUUUAUGUAGUAUAGUAGCCAGUAAUUAACAUGAAUAAUGUUUGGGAAAUAAAUAAAUAAGUAUUGUUAUUAGAAAGCAGACCGCAGAAAAUAAGUUCGUAACGGUAUACUUCGUUUUGAAAACACUGUACAACAUUUUUAAGGUCAUCGAUUCUGAACCAGAUUUUGAAAGUUUCUGCUGAAUUAAUUGCAAAAACUAGAAAUUCUGCAUUAAUUUUUUUUCCAAAUUGGUUCGGGUUUAUAUUUUAUGCUUUUAUCCAUUUUGUUGUUUAAUCAUUUAAUUUGGAAACCUUAUUUGAUAUUUUGAUACUGAUAUAUCUCGUAAACCGAGAGAAAUCAUUUUUUUUGUUCUUUCAGCAAUCUUGUAGAUAUCAAAUGGGUGAAAAAAAAUGCGGAAAAAUUUUAUCUUGUGCCUCAAUAUCGCAAAAAUUUUUAACAAUUAAAAGUUAAAGAGUACAACGAAAGGUUACAGCAAAUGUCUAAAAUAAAUGUGGUCUAUAGUUGAAAAAAUACGAAAAGGAGCGACACAAUUUGUUUAGUGCGGAAUUCACAAAGGUGUUUUGUGAAUAUUUCAAUGAACCUGAUUUAUUUGCUGAAGGUUGUACACCGUGUGCAAAAAAUGCUAAUGAUUGGAAACAUCUGAAACAAGAAAGGAAGCAAACUUCGGCAAUCCGAAGUUUUAAUACCCUAUUGCAAAAAGGAAUAAGUCUUAAAAACAUCUAUUUUCGAUUUAUAUGCGUAUAUGCUAAAACAUUGAAGCUAUAAUGAUUUUCAUUUAAUUAGUCGAUCGUUUCUAUGUCAGCUAUAUAAUAUCGUUUUCCGAUUUCAAUAAAAUUAAAAGCGUAAUUUUGUGAUUAAAAGAACUAAAACAAAAAAUUCACAAUUAAAAAGGUUAAAAUAUGUUUUUCAUUUAUUUUUUAAUAUUCCGGUUGUUUCCAUAGAAGCUAUAUGACAUAGUCGUCAGGUUUUAAUCAAAUUUAAACCGAAAUUCUGAAAAAUUAAACCGUAGCUAUAUUUUUAAAAAAAUAUACAAAAAAAUAAAAAUUAAAGCUAUAAUUUUCUUUCCAUUUUGUUCCCGAUUGUUUCUAUGGGGCAAUAUGCGAUAGUCGUCCGAUCCGACUCGUCCCCACUGAUACCUGCAAUAGGAAGACAACUUUAGGGAAAGUUUCAUGCAGAUAGCUUUGCGUAGAAACGGAAGGACUGACGGACUAUAUCGUUCAAAAAGUCUCCCACUAACACAUACGCAUACUUUCAAAAUAUGACAAUCCAAUCAGUAGGUUACACAGUGCUGUAAGCAAUUUCAUGAUUUAUCAUUGCUUUUUAAUGAACAAAAUAUGUUGUUCAAUGCCAGGAAGGCUUGCAAAUUAUUAUUUGGACUCUGCACCAACAUAAUAAACCAUUUGUUAUUGGUAUGCUGAGCUUAAAUGAGGUCGUUCAGACACCGAUGAUGCUGAGCGCGCUGGACGGCCAAAUGAGGCAGUUAGACCAGCAAACUUGGAAAAAUCACUGAAAAUCAUUAUGGACAACCGUAAAGUUAAAGUGAGGGAGAUUGCUGAUAUUCUGAAUAUAUUAGCAGGCAGAUUGUUCAUUACUUAGACAAUGCUCAGUGUCACAAGUCGAUGAAAACGAUGGCAAAAAUGCAUGAAUUGGAUUACGAAUUGAUGCAGCACCCACCGUAUUCUCCAGAUCUGGCCCCCGGCGUCUACUGGCCUUUUGCAGAACUCAAAAAUUUUAUCCAUGGUAAGAAUUUGCCUCGAAUAAGGCAGUAAUCGCCGAAAGUGAAUCAUAUUUUGAAGGCCUCAACAAAUCGUGACAUAAAAGUGGUAUAGAAAGAUUGAAAAAGUGUUGGAUUGAUUGUAUCGUCCUAUAAGAGGACUAUGUUGAUGAAUAAAAAGGAAUUUUGCCGAAAAA